AGUGGGUGAAGUUAAGAAGAGUCAGGAGAGUGAUACAAACAAGAAAACAAACAUACACAAAAAUAAUAAUAGUGCUAGUGGGUGAGAGAAAAGAGAGAGAGCUCAUGGGAGAGUGAAGAGAAGCAAAGGAAGGAAAAGCUUAACCUCAAUUUAGGGAGUUCACUACAAUCCAAAUUUUCAGGUAGCAUACGAAUCAUAGAUGGUGUGUUCGGAUCGCUGUUGCUUUGCUAUUUAUUUGGAGUCGCUCUGUUAGGAUGUUGUUGGGAGAAACUUUUAUUUAAUUAUGUUGUUAAAUUUUUAUAACAAUUGAACUAUGUCACUUGAUUCAGUAUUUUCAAUUCGGACUUUGAAACUUA